AUACGGAGGAUCCGAGCGUUAUCCGGAUUUAUUGGGUUUAAAGGGUGCGCAGGCGGCCAUUUAAGUCAGCGGUUAAAUCGUGGGGCUCAACCCCAUUCUGCCGUUGAUACUGGGUGGCUUGAUUGCGGUCGAGGUUGGCGGAAUUCGUUGUGUAGCGGUGAAAUGCAUAGAUAUGACGAAGAACACUGAUUGCGUAGGCAGCUGACCAGACCGCAAAUGACGCUCAUGCACGAAAGUGCGGGGAUCGAACAGGAUUAGAUACCCUGGUAGUCCGCACAGUAAACGAUGAAUACUUGUUUUCGGCGAUAUAAUGUCGGAGGCAAAGCGAAAGCGAUAAGUAUUCCACCUGGGGAGUACGCCGGCAACGGUGAAACUCAAAGGAAUUGACGGGG
rnacentral:rRNA from 1 species